UACGUAGGGUGCGAGCGUUGUCCGGAAUUAUUGGGCGUAAAGAGCUCGUAGGCGGUUUGUCACGUCUGCUGUGAAAUCCCGAGGCUCAACCUCGGGCCUGCAGUGGGUACGGGCAGACUGGAGUGGUGUAGGGGAGACUGGAAUUCCUGGUGUAGCGGUGGAAUGCGCAGAUAUCAGGAGGAACACCGAUGGCGAAGGCAGGUCUCUGGGCACUUACUGACGCUGAGGAGCGAAAGCGUGGGGAGCGAACAGG
rnacentral:rRNA from 1 species